AAGGCUUUUCUUAUUAGUACAGGAUUAGAUAGGAGGGUUGAAGGUAACAUAUGGAAUUGUAAUAAAAUGGUCAUACAUGGACCAUUUAGCUAUUUUAUUUAGAAUUUUAAAACCCCUUUAGGUAUAAAAAUGUUUUAUAUUACUUGAUGAAAUAUUGAAUUUGGUUUUUACUACUAUAGCCCAUAGAAACGCAUUGAAUAACACAUUCAUAAAUGGCAAAAAAGACAGUCAAAAAAUGUAUCAUAAGGAAGAAGGUUUUGAAGUGUCUGUCGUAUAUCUAGGAGAUAUAAGAAAGCUCAGGAAAUAUUUUUGUAUUUUUGUUGGAACAAAAAACCUUCCUCCAUCCUUCCAUUCGUUUGUAUAGGCAACCUUCAGACCAGUCCUGGGACACCUAUUGGUGUCGGACGCUACAAAUGUUUUCGGGAUGUCUUGGGGUCUGACAAACAUCGCUGUAGCUCCACCACCUUCCACCGCAGAGGCAGAAGGCCGACUGUGGCAGAGAGUAGGCCAGAAGGCUAAACUAAAAAACCUUAAAUGGAAUGUAAGCCUACUUAAACAAAAUAUCCGAUGGCGGAUGUCACGCCCUGGCCUUAGUUAUCUUUGUUUUCUUUAUUAUUUUAGUUAGGUCAGGGUGUGACAUGGGGGAGUGUUUGUGUGUUUUGUCUAGUCUAGGGUGUUUGUAUUGUCUAGGGGGUUUUGGUAGAGUUCAUGGGGUUGUGUUCAGUGUAGGUGUUUAUGUAAGUCUAUGGUUGCCUGGAUUGGUUCUCAAUUAGAGACAGCUGUCUAUCGUUGUCUCUGAUUGGGAGCCAUAUUUUAGGCAGCCAUAGGCAUUAGGUAGGUUGUGGGUAAUUGUCUAUGUUUUGACAUUAGUUGCUUGUGUCUGCACUUUCGUUUGAUAGCUUCACGGUCGUUUGUUGUUUUAUCUAGUUUGUAUUAGUGUUCGUGUUCGUUUCUUCUUCUAUUAAAAAGAAGAUGUAUUUAUAUCACGCUGCGCCUUGGUCCUCUCUUUCACCUAACAACGACCGUGACAGCGGAGCCGCAAAAGCACAUCUGUGCAAGGGUGUUUACUUACAUAGUGAUUCCCCCAAAAAACAGUACUGCCCCAAAAGUAUAGACAUAAAUGAUGGGGCCAGGUAGUGCUGCCCCGUCAAUGUAUCAAUGGAAAAAUCCCCCUUUUGAACUGAUAGAGGGGCUCCUUAUGUAGGGGGAAGCCCCUCCCAUCAGAACAAUGAAUUAAUCAAGGCAUAACUCAUUAUAGCACUUAAUAUAUUAAUAUAACACAUUUACAUAACUCCACCGCUACUGACAUGGUGUCUUACAAUACACACAUUCACAUGGACUCGCAAUUCAGGACAUGCACUACAAAGCCAGCCCGAUUGCAGUAGCUCGGGUCCUUAUUCUAGCAUACCCGGAAGCUACAUAGACGGAGAGAGAGGGACAGAAACAAACGGAGCGCUCAUCCAAAACAUUGAUAAGUACAAUAAUCACUUAAAUUAAACAUGAAAGCUUGUCUGUGUAUUCUUUAUACCAUACCAACCUGCUAAUGAAGUAUCUCUUAGGUUCUUCCAAGGAUCACUUGGGGGGGAUUGCCAUCACCACAGCCUAACUCCCACAGCCUGAGGAUGAUGUCUACAACCCUAACUCCCACAACCUGAGGAUGAUGUCUACAACCCUAACUCCCACAGCCUGAGGAUGAUGUCUACAACCCUAACUCCCACAACCUGAGGAUGAUGUCUACAACCCUAACUCCCACAGCCUGAGGAUGAUGUCCACAACCCUAACUCCCACAGCCUGAGGAUGAUGUCCACAACCCUAACUCCCACAGCCUGAGGAUGAUGUCUACAACCCUAACUCCCACAGCCUGAGGAUGAUGUCUACAACCCUAACUCCCACAACCUGAGGAUGAUGUCUACAACCCUAACUCCCACAGCCUGAGGAUGAUGUCUACAACCCUAACUCCCACAACCUGAGGAUGAUGUCUACAACCCUAACUCCCACAACCUGAGGAUGAUGUCUACAACCCUAACUCCCACAGCCUGAGGAUGAUGUCUACAACCCUAACUCCCACAACCUGAGGAUGAUGUCUACAACCCUAACUCCCACAGCCUGAGGAUGAUGUCUACAACCCUAACUCCCACAGCCUAAGGAUGAUGUCUACCAGCCUAAGGAUGAUGUCUACCAGCCCGAGGAUGAUGUCUACAACCCUAACUCUACAGAGUCCACGCACGGCAUCCGGUUCACUCUCCUCUUCCUGAAUCCUCAUUCUCACAUUCCUUACAUUUCCUCAAUAAAUAUUCAAAACCCA